rnacentral:rRNA from 1 species
CAGUAGCCGCGGUAAUACAGAGGGUGCAAGCGUUAAUCGGAAUUACUGGGCGUAAAGCGCGCGUAGGUGGUUCGCCAAGUUGGAUGUGAAAUCCCCGGGCUCAACCUGGGAACUGCAUCCAAAACUGGCGAGCUAGAGUAUGGUAGAGGGUGGUGGAAUUUCCUGUGUAGCGGUGAAAUGCGUAGAUAUAGGAAGGAACAUCAGUGGCGAAGGCGACCACCUGGACUGAUACUGACACUGAGGUGCGAAAGCGUGGGGAGCAAACAGGAUUAGAUACCCCCGUAGUCCCUGUCUCUUAUAU